rnacentral:rRNA from 1 species
AGAACGAACGCUGGCGGCAGGCUUAACACAUGCAAGUCGAACGCGUGUAGCAAUACACGAGUGGCGCACGGGUGAGUAACGCGUGGAUAUCUGCCUUUUGGUUCGGAAUAACCCCGGGAAACUGGGGCUAAUACCGGAUGGUUCCUACGGGAUAAAGAUUUAUCGCCAAAAGAUGAGUCCGCGUCCGAUUAGCUAGUUGGUGGGGUAAUGGCCUACCAAGGCGACGAUCGGUAGCUGGUCUGAGAGGACGAUCAGCCACACUGGGACUGAGACACGGCCCAGACUCCUACGGGAGGCAGCAGUGGGGAAUAUUGGACAAUGGGGCAACCCUGAUCCAGCCAUGCCGCGUGAGUGAUGAAGGCCUUCGGGUUGUAAAGCUCUUUUGGCGGGACGAUGAUGACGGUACCCGCAGAAUAAGCCCGGCUAACUUCGCGCCAGCAGCCGC